rnacentral:rRNA from 1 species
CUUUCUGCAAGGUGCUGCAUGGUUGUCGUCAGCUCGUGCCGUGAGGUGUCGGUUAAGUCCCAUAACGAGCGCAACCCUUAUCGUUAGUUGCCAGCUGGUAAAGCAGGGGACUCUAGCGAAACUGCCACCGUAAGGUGAGAGGAAGGUGGGGAUGACGUCAAAUCAGCACGGCCCUUAUGUCCAGGGCUACACACGUGUUACAAUGGCCGGCACAGAGGGCAGCUACCUGGUGACAGGAUGCUAAUCUCGAAAACCGGUCUCAGUUCGGAUCGAAGUCUGCAACUCGACUUCGUGAAGCUGGAUUCGCUAGUAAUCGCGCAUCAGCCAUGGCGCGGUGAAUACGUUCCCGGGCCUU